rnacentral:rRNA from 1 species
GACGAACGCUGGCGGCGUGCUUAACACAUGCAAGUCGAACGGAAAGGCCCUGCUUUUGUGGGGUGCUCGAGUGGCGAACGGGUGAGUAACACGUGAGUAACCUGCCCUUGACUUUGGGAUAACUUCAGGAAACUGGGGCUAAUACCGGAUAGGAGCUCCUGCUGCAUGGUGGGGGUUGGAAAGUUUCGGCGGUUGGGGAUGGACUCGCGGCUUAUCAGCUUGUUGGUGGGGUAGUGGCUUACCAAGGCUUUGACGGGUAGCCGGCCUGAGAGGGUGACCGGCCACAUUGGGACUGAGAUACGGCCCAGACUCCUACGGGAGGCAGCAGUGGGGAAUAUUGCACAAUGGGCGGAAGCCUGAUGCAGCAACGCCGCGUGCGGGAUGACGGCCUUCAGGUUGUAAACCGCCUUCGCCUGUGACGAAGCGUGAGUGACGGUAAUGGGUAAAGAAGCACCGGCUAACUACGU